rnacentral:lncRNA from 14 species
AAAUCACUGUAAAGAUGGGAGGAGAGGCUGGGUGGAAAGAAAAUCCAUCAGCAGAUUCUUGAGACAGAUGUUGGAACUGCAGGGACCGACCCUGCCCUUCCAUAAGUGCUAAUUAGGUCCAGCUUAAGACAUUUGUUCUCAGCUAUCUAGGCUGGUACCAUUCAGUCCAUGGAAGGCAGGUGCCUGAGUUCCUGCUAAAGUCUUGAACUGCAGGAAAUAACCGAAAACACACCAGAGUAGGUGAGGGAAGGUAGCACGAGACAGGGCCUUACUCUAUAGCCCAAGCUGGCAUUGAACUCCUGGUGGUUCAGGCUCUGGAGUGCUGAGGUGGAAGUUGAGUGCCAGUCGUCCUGUGCCACCUAAUUACGUACAGUGGCUCUGCCAUGGCCAAAGUGGUAUUAUGUUCCCCUGAGUUCUUUCCUAGCAGCCAAGCAGCCACACUCUCCCAAGUCUGUUUAUGUCUAAAGCCUGCCACUUAACUUGAAAUGCUGCUUGAUGUGACAGUUCAGCAAGAGGCCACUUAGUGCUGGUCCUAAAUUGCUGAUCCUAAAUGUACUGACGUGCCCAAGUACAUUUUUGCUGAUGUUUAUGUUAGCAUUGAGUUUAUUUUCUCGGUUAAUCAUUUUAUCUUCUGUGAGUUUUUCUCUAGUCCAUAGGGUCUUAUCAGAUUGGGUUUUGAAGGACUGAGGCUGGAACUUGGGGCUUCAUAGCUGCUGGACAGUGCUUCACCUACCUUCCCCACUCUGUGCUACAUAGUUCUAGAAGCAAGAGGACCAUGAGCAAGCUAGUUUCCCCUUAUCCCUUAUUUUAAUUUUCAGUAAAACAGAUUGAUAAACAACAGUUUAGUUCCAGACAUGGUGGCAUAUGCCUUUAACCCCAGCACUAGGGAGGCAGAGGCAGGGGGAUUCUGAGUUCGAGGCCAGCUUGGUCCAUAGAGGGAGUUCCAGGACAGCCAGGGCUACACAGAGAAACCCUGUCUCAAAAAAAAAAAAAAAAAAA